rnacentral:misc_RNA from 1 species
GUGAAUCAUCAAAUCUUUGAACGCAUAUUGCACUCUCUUGGAUGCCGGAGAGUAUUCCUGUUUGAGGGUAAUUAAAAAGAAUCUUUAACCAAUUUUUUUUGGUCAAAGGAAAUGAGCUCUCCGCGUUUAUAUCGGUAGCUUUAAAUAAAUGUUCAAUUCUCAUUUUAGUCGAGACGCGUAAUAAUAUUAUUUCGCGAUAUCUUCAUUAUGUUACUAUCAAUUUUUGAUGCAUACAAUUUUACUUUAUAUGCGAUCAAUACAAAUAUUUUGAACAUUACCUCAAAUCAGGGAGGAGUACCC